UCCUAAGUUAAAGCUAUAUGACCCUAGCC
rnacentral:piRNA from 1 species